UUUCACGCCGCCCCCUGGCAACCUGUACAUCAAUCUCGAUCACCCCUACCUGCGCCAAGCGCCGCAGCAGUCCUCUGCCGAGGUGGCAACCACGCAAUCAGGUCAGCAAAAACGCUGCAAUGCUCUUUGAAAUGUUUUGCACAGUCCUGUCUAUAAUGAUGCAAGCUUGACGUACUGCCCAGCUUACAACAAGGUACACAACCAAGCUUCAAAUUUGUCUUUUUCCUUCAACCUCAAAUGAUACAUUCUGCUCUGUCCAGCUGGAACGUUAUAGUAUCAGCAGCUGGCAUCUUCCUGGUGUCUUCAUUUUGGGCAUCAAGAAGAGUAGUCUUUUGCUGGUACAAUAUCGUCCCACUGUAGGACCAGGCAUAUGGCUUACAGCACCCCUUUAAUGAGACAGCAGCUCCAUGUUCCUCGAUCACAUCUUCAUUUUCUGCCAGGCCUGUCUUUAAGUAUUGCCGCUUGCUCUGCACUGCACUGCUCUGCACUUUGAUGCCACACCUUGUGUUUAUCAUGUUCUCUGGGGCCUAAAGGCAUACACAAGAAUGUCACGAAAUAGAUCUUUUCUUACUGCACAUCUCUGCAAAUCUCGAGCCCAAAGUAAGAAGUUGCGCAAACGCAGACAAAGCAGACCAGACUGCAUUGCCAAAACUGGCGCUGCAUGAGGACGAGUGUGCGGUCGGCCUGGCCGUCAAGAAGCGCGCGGCUGCCGUCAUAUCCGCGUCGGCAUUCUUGGUACUGGCGCGAACGUUCCCUCCUGCGCUGUCCGCCGGCUGGGAGAUCCCUGUGGACGUCGUGGC
rnacentral:lncRNA from 1 species